rnacentral:misc_RNA from 1 species
UCCGGUUUUUCACCGGCAGUCCCCCUAGAGUGCCCAACUAAAUGAUGGCAACUAAGGGCGAGGGUUGCGCUCGUUGCGGGACUUAACCCAACACCUCACGGCACGAGCUGACGACAGCCAUGCAGCACCUGUGCUCGCUCCCCUUUCAGGGUCAUCACCGUUUCCGGUUCUUACCACGAGCAUGUCAAGCCUGGGUAAGGUUUUUCGCGUUGCGUCGAAUUGAACCACAUGCACCACCGCUUGUGCGGGCCCCCGUCAAUUCCUUUGAGUUUCAAUCUUGCGACCGUACUCCCCAGGCGGCAUAUUUAACGCGUUAGCUCCGGCACGGACCAAAUGAAUGGCCCACACCAAAUAUGCAUCGUUUAGGGCGUGGACUAC